rnacentral:rRNA from 1 species
AUGAGGAAGAAAAAAUGGCCAGGGAACCCUUGUUGUUCCUUUUGCAAGGAGAUAGAAACUUCGAAACAUCUUUUCUUUACUUGCCCAGUUGCUAGGGUGGUUUGGAGAUCUAUUGGGAUGGUUCUAGGCACUGACAAGUGCCCGAACAAUUGUUGGCAGUAUUUUGCUUGGUGCAAUAGAUUUCUUCCUGGUAAAGAAGCUUUCUAUACUGUGGGAUUAGCUGCUAAUAGUUGGGCUAUUUGGCUGGCACGCAACCAGGCCACCUUUGAGAAAAAACAGAUUAAGACUCCUUUUACGAUUGUUUUCUCUCUAUGUUCGUUUCUUUUAUACUGGACAGGAUUGCAGAAGGGAGAAGCGGCUGGGGAGCUUUGA